AGAUUACAGACUCAAUCGAGGAUAUGUAUUUGAACUCCGGCCAAAUUCCGAUCAGGCUGUCGUUCAUCCCACAUUCUCAAAUUAGCUCGCGUCUCUUAAUCUAGAUCGAAUUCCGAUCUUAGAUCGGAGACAUUGAGUCCACUCAGGUCCAUUCAUUGAAUUAAUUCGAAUUGGUUGCAUUGAUAUUCUAAACCGUAUCAACUGGUGCUUUCAAGUUUUCUACUCAUUUUUUUCAACAGGAAUAACAAAAAGAAAUUUUCAGAUGGCCAAAAAUAGCCAAGUGGAGGAAAUUGAAGCUAAUAUGAAAAGACUCCAAGAAUUCCAACUAUCACAAACAAGGGAGAUGACCGAAUUAAGGAAUUUAAUCAACAACAAUUCCUUAAAAUUAGCAAAGCAACUGGAAAAAAUCAUAGAAAAACAAUAUGACGAUGAAAAUAUAAAGAUAGAUGGAGAACCACACAUGAAAGGUGAUUCAAGAAAAUCUCAAGUAGAUGCCCUGAUUGAUCCGGAAAGGCCAGCAUAUGCAGCGAGUAUGCAUGGGAAUCCUGAAUACAUUCCCCCAAAACAUAUCAAAUUUGACAUGCCCAAAUUCGAUGGCAAGGAACCUGAGCUCUGGAUUUUUAUGGCUAGAAGAUUAUUCAUCUUCUACAACACACCAGAAGAACAAAAAUUGAUUAUAGCCUCUUUCAACAUGCAAGGAAUAGCCCUUAAAUGGUUCCUAUGGAUGGAGUCCAGCAAUUAUUUAACUACAUGGCCUGCACUUGUCAAGUCUAUACUAAAGAAAUUUAAUCCAACCACUUACACCAUUCCAGAUGGAAAGCUCAGCAAAUUGAUCCAAACUACAACAGUUGCUGAAUUCGUGAGAAAGUUUGAAGAUUAUUCAUCAAAGGCAAUCGGAAUCCCUGAUUGGUUAUUGCUAGAAAUGUUCUUAUCAGGUCUAAAAGAUGAAAUUCAGAAGGAAGUAGUUAGAGCAAAACUUGAAGAUUUACAAGAAGCUAUGGAGCUGGCUGUUCAUCUUGAAAAACAAGGAACAAGAAGCACGUCAACAUUCAAACAAGGAGGCUACAAAUCUUUCCAAGGAAAACAGUCAUGCUACACAAAAAAUAAUACUGAGGGAGCAUUCAAUCCUAAUACCACCAGCAACACUCCAAAAACAGAAAAUCUAAACCGAAACUUCAAGAGGCUCACUUUUGCUGAGAGAAAAGAAAGAACUUCCAAAGGAUUAUGCUUUAACUGUGAUGAGAAAUUCUCAUCGGGACACAAAUGUAAAGGAAAGCUAUUCAGAUUUUCAGCUGAAGACAAUACAUUCUGGGAACUAGCUGAUACAGAUGAAGGAGAAGAUGAAGCUGAAAUUAAAAUUAAAAUUAAAAUUUUAGAGUUUGAAGAAGAGUCUGAAAUCAGUCUUCAAGCAUUACAGGGAAAAAUUGGUAUAAGAACCAUCAGACUGGAAGGUUUCAUUAAAAGCCAAAGUGUUAGUGUUCUCAUUGAUACCGGAUCGACCCACAACUUUAUGCAAGAGGAAGUGGCCAAGAACCUAUAAUUAACUGUUUGUGUUAUAAAUCCGUUCAAAGUCUCAAUAGGAAGUGGAGAGAAAUUAACAUGUGAUAAGGCCUGUAGAGGUGUGAAAAUAAAAAUCCAAGGCACUAUCAUAGCCUUGGACUUAUUCCUACUGCAUAUGGCUGGAACAAAUAUAGUCAUUGGAACCCAAUGGCUGAAGCAACUAGGAGAUGUCGUUUCUAAUUACAAGGACUUGGUGAUGAAAUUCUAUUGGAAAGGUGAGCAAGUAAUAUGGCAAGGACUUUCCUGGUUGGACAGUGAACCACCCACCUCAGGGCAGUUAAAGUCACUAGAAAAGGGAUCAUCAGAGGCAUAUCUUUGUUAUUUUGAAGUAGUAAAUGUAGAUUCCAGCAAACUACAAAAUUCUGAAAUUCAGGAAGUAAAUAAAAUAGUAGAAGAGCAUACUGAGAUAUUUGAAGAACCCCAAGGACUUCCACCUCAUAGAGAGUAUGACCACCACAUACACCUAGAACCCAACUCAACACCCAUAAAUGUGAGGCCCUAUAGAUACCCUCAAUUUCAGAAAGGAGAGAUUGAGAAACUGAUCAGAGAGCUAUUAGAACAAGGAGUGAUACAACCAAGUACUAGCCCCUAUUCAUCACCUGUUCUAUUAGUAAAGAAAAAAGAUGGGGGAUAUAAACUAUGUGUUGACUAUAGAACACUCAAUGCCAUCACCAACAAAGAUAAGUUUUCCAUACCCACGGUAGAUGAACUAUUGGGAGAACUAAGAGGCUCGAUGAUUUUUUCUCAACUAGACUUGAGGUCAGGGUUCCAUCAAAUCAGAAUCAACCCAAAGGAUGUAGAGAAAACUGCUUCCAGACCACACCAAGAUCAUUAUGAGUUCUUGGUAAUUCCCUUUGGAUUAACCAAUGCUCCAGCCACAUUUCAAGCUGUAAUGGACAGAGUUUUUCGGCAAUACCUCAGAAAAUUUGUUAUAAUCUUUUUUGAUGAUAUCUUGGUAUACAGUUCAUCCCUAGAGAAUCACCUAGAGCAUCUGAAAAUUAUAUUUGAAAUUUUAAGACAAAAUCAGUUGCUUGCCAAGAAGUCCAAAUGCUCUUUUGGACAGACCACUAUGGGAUUUCUAGGACAUAUAAUCAGCCAAGAAGGAGUAAAUCCAGACCCAGCAAAAAUACAAGCAAUUAUGGAUUGGCCAACUCCUAAAACCUUAAAGAAGCAAAGAGGGUUUUUAGGGCUGAGUGGUUACUACAGGAGAUUUAUAAAGGGUUAUGCACAACUAGCUACACCCAUGACUGAAUUAUUGAAAAAAGAUGCCUUUAAGUGGUCAGAAGAAGCCACCAAAAGUUUUGAAAUUCUAAAGACUGCAAUGACCUCAGCCCCAAUCCUUCAAUUUCCUGAUUUUCAAAAAGAGUUCACAGUCGAAACUGAUGCUUGCAAUUCAGGUAUAGGGGCUGCCCUCCUACAAGAAAAUCUUCCAAUCUCCUUCUUCAGUAGCAAAAUUAGUGGAAGACUAUCGGCCGCCUCAGUAUAUAUCAAAGAAAUGUAUGCCAUCACACAAUCAGUAGCAACGUGGAGACAUUACCUCCUUGGCAGACAUUUCAUCAUCAAAACAGACCACAGAAGCUUAAAAAAUCUAUUAACUCAGGUGAUACAGACACCAGAGCAACAAGUAUUCCUUUGCAAGCUUCUAGGUUAUGACUUUACUAUUAUUUAUAAACCAGGAAAGUUCAAUCAAGUGGCUGAUGCUUUGUCUAGAAGCUAUGAAGAUGAGGAAGAAAUUCUAUAUUCCAACAAGGCUGAAGUGACCAAGGGUUCUAUGCUAGCAUUUUCCAUUCCUAUACAUCACCUUAUAGAAGAAAUAAAAAUAUUUAACUCCAACUCAGAAAGAGCAAGGGCAAUGAUAAACAAAAUCUUUGAAGAAAAUCUAAAACCUCAAGGAUAUGAAUUUAAGAAUGAUUUAAUUUUCUUUAAAGGAAGGAUAUUGGUAAUUCAAGGCUCGGAAAUUACUCUGAAAAUAUUGAAGGAGUUUCAUGAUGGAUAUAUUGGAUGACACUCAGGUAUAGAAAGAACCUUCAACAGGAUUUCAAAAAAAUUUUGGUGGCAAGGAAUGUAGAAGGAGAUAAAAAAUUAUGUGAAAGAAUGCCAUAUCUGUCAGAAAAUAAAGUCUUCAAAUCAAAAAAGGAAUGGAUUGCUUAUGCCCUUACCAAUCCCACCCUCAGUUUUGCAUGACAUAUCUGUGGAUUUCAUCACGGGUCUACCAAAGGUACAAAAAAAAUCCGUUAUAAUAGUGGUAGUAGAUAGACUCUCUAAAUCAUGUCAUUUAGGAGCUCUUACAUCUAACUACAAUGCUCAUAUGGUUGCUGAAUUUUUUGUGAAUGAGAUCAUAAGGCUACAUAGUUAUCCAAAUUCUAUUGUAUCUGAUCGAGACAAAGUUUUUGUGUCUAAGUUUUGGAAGGAGUUAAAUAGAUUGAGUGGGACAAAGCUCAACUUCACUUCGGCCUAUUACCCUCAGAGUGAUGGACAAACUGAGGUAGUCAACAGAGGAAUAGAAAUGUAUCUAAGGGCUAUGGCUCAUGAAGAGCCUAAGGAAUGGCUAAAACUAUUACCAUGUGCUGAAUUAUGGUUCAACACCAACUACAAUGCAUCAUUAGGGUAGACACCAUUCCAGACAUUGUAUGGAAAGGAAGUCGCACUGUUUCCUAAUUUCACAUCAGAAAAUUCUGAUAUUGAAGCAGUAGAAACAGAAAUUAAAGUAAGAAAAGAAGAAAUGGAAGUUGUAAAGAAAAAUCUGAUGAAGGCCCAAAACAGAAUAAAGGUUAAUGCUGAUAAAGGAAGAAGAGAGAUUGAAUUCAAUGAAGGAGAUAUGGUAUUAGUAAAAUUGCAACCAAAUCGACAAUUAUCUCUAGCAUUCAGAUUAAACAACAAAAUCUGCCAAAAAUUCUUUGGCCCAUACAAAAUUAAAAAGAAAAUCAGCAAGGUGGCUUACAAGCUUAGUCUGCCAGAAGGGAGCAGGAUCCACGAUUGUUUCCACAUAAGCAAGCUAAAAAAAAUAUUACGGCUCUGAACCACCAGAAAUGGAGCUUCACCCAUUGAUCUCUGUAAGCAAUAACCCAAUUUUAUAUCCUAUAGCUAUACUAGAUUGCAGGGAAAUCUAUAGGCAAGGGAAAAAAAUACCUCAAUCACUCAUACAAUGGAGCAACUCGUUGUUGGAAGACUCAUCAUGGGAGGACAACACCAGCCUGCAACAACUAUUCUCUUCCAUCCACCUUGAGGACAAGGCGAAAUUCCGGGGAGGUAGACAUGAUACGAAUGCGGUGGUGAAAAAUCUGGAGAAAGUCACGCAGCUGGAGGAAGAUCCAGUGACCGGAGCAGCACCUGAAGGAGUCGUCGACGGUGAGGAAUCCAAAGAAUCGACAACAAAUCAAGGGAUCCGCAGAUCCGCCCGAAUAAAGAACCCAUCAGUUUGGGUGACCCAAUAUGAGAAAUAAGAAAAGGGGGAAGGCGGAGGACCAGAG
rnacentral:lncRNA from 1 species